UAUCUUCAGGGUGAGGUGAAAAUCCUUGACCGGCGGUAAAGCCCGCGAGUCUUUUUAUUAAGACAUGAAUUGGUGUAAUUCCAAUGCCGACAGUAUAGUCUGGAUGGAAGAAGAU
rnacentral:ncRNA from 1 species